UUGUGGACUGCCGACUCACUCGGGCCAGCAUGUAAAUGAGCGUGCGUGUGUAAGUCAGCGUGUGUUCCUGUAAUCAAAAUCUCAGAGGUCCUCUAUAUAUGUUAAACGUUUCCUUUUUUCUGUUGUGUAAACACAUUUCUUUCCAUUGGCUAACAUUAUUUAUGCCAGAGGCAUCAGCAGCGUCUUAAGUGGUUUAUCUGCAAAGCGUUGUACUUUUCUACUCAUCUCACAUUGCUUUUUACCAUAGUCAGAUUCUCCUAUUUGUCUAUCCACAACAGGAGCAAAAUGAGGGACUUAGCCUGGGGCUGUGCAAAAAAUCAACGGCAAGAGAAUUUGGUUGCUUUGAAUUUCUGGGAUUCUGUGAGCAUUUCUUCCCAGCAACAGACUAUGACUGAUUUAUUGAGUGAGCUCUGUGUGCAGCUUUGUGCUGGUCAAUAUUGCACAUUAUGUAAGAAAGUAUUUCACAACAUAUGUGAAGAUAAAGGAGGUUACACACCAUGUGAGCAUUAAACCUCUUCAACUUUUGCAUUUGUACAGAUAUAUAUGAUUAUAGUGAAAAGUUACAUAUGCAUUGUACAAAUCUUUGGGAUCUGAAUCCAUUAGCAUGGCACUGUAUUUUUAGGACACCUGCAAUGUCAUUUUCAGUACUGGCAGCUCCGAGGCCAGCUGUUUCGUGCACAAUCUCAGAUUGUUUGAGAGUCAGUAGAAGGGCUGUUAUUACAACAAAACUUUGCAUGCAUGUUGUCCACAUGGUUGUAUACACACACACACACACACACACACACACACACACAUAUAUAUACACAUAUAUAUAUAUACACACAUACAUACAUACACUUAAUUAAUUACUGAAAAAACAAUCAUCCCACAAAUCUGGCUGAGAAUAUGUUAAGCUGCUGAAGCCUAAAACAGUCA